rnacentral:tRNA from 1 species
GCGCCCGUAGCUCAAUCGGAUAGAGCAACGGACUUCUAAUCCGUAGGUUGGUGGUUCGAGUCCACCCGGGCGUGC